UACGGAGGGUGCGAGCGUUGUCCGGAAUCAUUGGGCGUAAAGCGCGCGUAGGCGGCCCGGUAAGUCCGCUGUGAAAGUCCAGGGCUCAACCCUGGAAAGCCGGUGGAUACUGCCGGGCUAGAGUCCGGAAGAGGCGAGUGGAAUUCCUGGUGUAGCGGUGGAAUGCGCAGAUAUCAGGAGGAACACCGAUGGCGAAGGCAGCUCGCUGGGACGGUACUGACGCUGAGGCGCGAAAGCGUGGGGAGCGAACAGG
rnacentral:rRNA from 1 species